GAUGAAGAACGCAGCAAAAUGCGAUAAGUAAUGUGAAUUGCAGAAUUCAGUGAAUCAUCGAAUCUUUGAACGCACAUUGCGCCCGCUGGUAUUCCGGCGGGCAUGCCUGUUCGAGCGUCAUUUCAACCCUCAAGCCCCCGGGUUUGGUGUUGGGGAUCGGCUCUGCCCUUCUGGGCGGUGCCGCCCCCGAAAUACAUUGGCGGUCUCGCUGCAGCCUCCAUUGCGUCGUAGCUAACACCUCGCAACUGGAACGCGGCGCGGCCAUGCCGUAAAACCCCAACUUCUGAAUGUUGACCUCGGAUCAGGUAGGAAUACCCGCUGAACUUAAGCAUAUCAAUAAGCGGAGGA
rnacentral:misc_RNA from 1 species